rnacentral:rRNA from 1 species
CCUACGGGAGGCAGCAGUGGGGAAUAUUGGACAAUGGGCGAAAGCCUGAUCCAGCAAUGCCGCGUGUGUGAAGAAGGCCUUCGGGUUGUAAAGCACUUUCAGUGGGGAAGAAAAGCCUGGGGCUAAUAUCCCCGGGUGUUGACGUUACCCACAGAAGAAGCACCGGCUAACUCCGUGCCAGCAGCCGCGGU